GACGAACGCUGGCGGCGUGCUUAACACAUGCAAGUCGAACGGAAAGGCCUGCUUUCCCUUGUGGAUUGCGGGUACUCGAGUGGCGAACGGGUGAGUAACACGUGCGUGAUCUGCCCCCAACUUGGGUAUAAGCCUGGGAAACUGGGUCUAAUUCCCGCUAGGUCUGCAGGGUGGUGCCUGUGGUGGCAAACGAUUUUCUAGUGGUUGGGGCUGAGCUCGCGGCCUAUCAGCUUGUUGGUGGGGUAAUGGCCUACCAAGGCUGCGACGGGUAGCCGGCCAGGGAGGGUGGACGGGCACAGUGGGACGGAGACACGGCCCAUACUACAACGGGAAGAAGCAGUGGGGAGUAAUGCGCGAUGAGUGGAAGCCUGAGGCAGGGAGGCCGCGUGGGGGAUGACGGGUUUCGGGUGGUGAACUCCGGGCGGCAGCGAGGAAGCGACCGGGUUGGAGGGGGGGUGACGGUAGUGGUAGAAGAAGCACCGGCUAACUACGUG
rnacentral:rRNA from 1 species